rnacentral:rRNA from 1 species
UACGGAGGGUGCAAGCGUUAUCCGGAUUUACUGGGUUUAAAGGGUGCGUAGGCGGGCCCUUAAGUCAGUGGUGAAAGCUCCGAGCUUAACUCGGAAACUGCCAUUGAAACUGUUUAUCUUGAGUACAUUUGAGGCGGGCGGAAUGUGUCAUGUAGAGGUGAAAUUCUUAGAUAUGACACAGAACACCAAUUGCGAAGGCAGCUCGCUAAACUGUAACUGACGCUGAGGCACGAAAGCGUGGGGAUCAAACAGG